rfam:Porcine coronavirus HKT15 strain HKT15-155, complete genome
CAAUCUAUGUCUCAACCCACCCAACUCCACUCAAAUAUCUCUUUGGUUCCAGAGAGUCGUAGUGUAUAGCCAGAGAGCCAGUCAGAGGGCGCUAUCAUGCAAACUAGGGCUGGCUACUCUAGCACAGAAUCACAUCCCGAUAAUCAACAGUGCUAGAAGGUUGAUUAUACCAUUUAAUAUGCCGAGGCCACGCGGAGUACGAUCGAGGGUACAGCAUAAUCUCAACUUUUGUUGAGCCACAAUUUUAAUCCUAAUUGGAGAAGGCCAAAGGACUGUACUACUUUUGUAGGUGUAGCAGUCGCCCAGUGGGAAAGCGCCAACUAGGUUACAAUUGUGGUGGGGACAAAUUAGGGGAAAUUAAAUUGGCUUAUAGGGGGGAUGGAGC